ensembl:miRNA Mir6348 microRNA 6348
GGCACAAAAGGAAAGGUGGUUUGUACAUUCUAGUCCUGGGCUUUGUGUAGAAGGAACAGGCCACCUGAUGGUAGCAGAGGAACUAGAUGUACUUCACUCAGCCUUUAUAAGGUGUGUGUA